rnacentral:lncRNA from 1 species
CACAGUUUCUUGACUAUAGACUUGAUUUAAACAGCAAAUAUAAUUUGCUGGAGAAUAAACACACAUUCCUGUAAAUUCUGCUUUACUUUUUCACUGGAAAAAGAAAGGAGUUAAGAUUAAAUGAAGUUAAGUUAAAAUACAGUGAGAUCCUGAAGGAUAUAGAGGUGCUCUCAUGCCUUAAUGCUCAGGGGAGACCAGCUGUUGGAGAUAGCUCUUCUCUUCUGUGUCUCUCUCCAUGGUCUUUACCUGGGAUAGCUCCAACUUGGUUUUCCCCUUGCUUCAGGGGAUUUUGCUGCUUAGCUGAGCUUCAAGGCAGAACUUGGUGAGUUUUGAUUUUGCAUAUUACUGCUGCUUUAGGGACUGCAAUCUAGGGGCCAUGUUUUAAGCUUAAGCUUAAAUAUAUAUAUUCUUAGUUCACUAUAGGUAUUUAAUAAGUUAAAUAAAUAUAUAUGUACAUAGAACAAAUACUGUCUGCCUUCCUGCUAUAUUUUUUUAGUUAUGUUGAUAUAAAAUUGGACAGUUUUUUCAGAAUGGUAACACUGGAUCAUUAUUUUGAGGCUGGCCUGCCUAGUCUAUGUAGUAAUACUCUGCCUCAAAAAAGGUAAAAUUGAGCAGGUUUUAUGGGUGAUGAGUAAAUUAAUUCUAAGAGCAGUGAGAGAAAGUGUGUGUGUCUUCAGUGAUAAAGAAACUGAGACCCACCUGGGGCUUAAGCCAGAUGGGGAGUUAAGUUAGAAGCCAGUGGGAAUCAGAUAGAGCACACGCUUUCCUUAAAUACUGUUUCUGUCUUAUAAACCACUAUGUCCUGGCCUUCACUGGAGGGAAUAUCUCAAGACUAAGCCUUGGAGACAUGAAUGGUCUUCUAAAAAGCAAGCCACAGAUGGUGCGUAUCCUUGUCAACAGAAGGAAACAGGAAGCAUAGCCUGCAGCAGAACUGGGGAAAUUACUUAGCUUAGGGCUAGAACUCCUCAGCUCCAUGAACAGAAAGAAAAUUCUAGCCCAUAAUAGGACUAACAAUUCAGCCUUACUGAAUGCAGAGCACAGAGCAUCUCUAGAAUGCCCUCCCGGAAGCAAGCUGCCUGAGCUCCAUUAGAGAUGAGGAAGUCAAUGAGGCAUGUGCUCACACUGCUGAUGACUUUACCAAGCCAUACCCCAUGCUACUUGUUAGAGCUUCUUACUGAGUUUGUACACGUCAAGGCCACAGAUCCUCUGGUGCCACUUUUACUAGAAACUUCUUCAGUAAGCAAUACAAAAAUUAACUACUUUUACUGAUGGUGUGUCAUUAGAAGCUGCUUUGUGUGUACUCUGCUGCAGGGUGAGCUAUGCCCAUGCCAGGAUUUGUUCCAAAAACCAUGUAGAGUUCUCCAAGAACCUGUUUAUACAAAGAAGUGCCCUCCAACUUGUCUGACUGGAUGGCAUUCGGGGUUUAUAGGUCCUAGUAAACCAUCUUGUAUCCUUUUGUGAUUUGUUUGGGCACAAGGGACUUUAUUCCUUUUGAGAACUUUUGUUUAUAAAUAGAUUCAAAUGUGCAAUCAAAAACUGUCAUCUCAAAAUAAAUACAGUUUUGACAAAAAUGUUAACUAUGACUUCAUCUUAUAUGUAAUACUUUCUUGAUGUUGGUGUUGAUCCGUGUUGUAAUGGAACCUGGAAUUCUGCUCCAAGUCUAAACCAUGACACCACCUUCGCC